AGGGAGAGUAUCUUCAAUCUACAUCUAUCUUCAUAAAUCAGCAUGAAUAGCAACCCCCAAAAGACCAAAGAUUAUUUACCACAACUUAAAAAAAAUAAUACCGUUCGAUUCAAUUCAAGAGGCCCUAUCCCCGAACCAGGAAUCCAACUGAAAUCGAUCUGUUUAAGCUCAUCAUCACCGCAACAUUUGUACAUAUACACAUACUAUAGGCGGAUGCAAAUACAAACAAAAAAGAGCAGAGAGGCAGAGCAUACCAGGAGUCAGGAGAGGCGAUGAUCAGCAGCCGCGAGUAGCGUGAGCAAAUAUCACAAGGCGAGGUUUUGUUAGGUUUUAAGA
rnacentral:misc_RNA from 1 species